CCCAGCUCCUCGCUGGGUAGCGCAGGCUCGGCAGGUGCCGGUUGUGGAAUGGAUCCUUCUGCAGUGGUACUGUUAUCCGUUUUCAAAACUGGCUACAAUGGCAAAGAGAAGUGCUUCAGAAUUACCGUUUAAUUAUCCCCUCAGCAUAGCUGAGGAACAGGAAUUCUAACUAAUUUAGACAACAGAAGACAACAUCUAUUUUUGUAAAACCUAUAAUAUUCACAAGUAUUUGAUCCAGAAGGAACUAAGUCCUGAUGAGGGCAAAAGUAUUUCAUCACACAUUUCAAAAGAAGUCUUCAUUUCUUUAUUUGCAUUUUAAUACACAUAACCUUUAAAUGCUGGCUUAUAAUUAAAAUUUCAAACUUGGCGCAUACUACAUUCUUCACACACUUCGCUUUGUUACCCAACUUUACUGUAUUACAAUCUGUAAGCUUGUUGAAAACUGUGAAACACAGAGAGGAACGAAGCACAACAGAUAAACACACAUACUGAGUUAAAGUUAAAUUCUUCACAAUUAGGAAAAGCAUGAGGAUUCAUAAAUUGGAGAUGAAACUGGAGUACUGAUUAGAUGAUGAUGUAUAAUGCGAUAGGCACAAGUUUCUGCUGUAUUUUUGUAAGCUAUAAUGGAACUAAAGAGGAGAGAUCAACGCUGGGAUAACUAUUCAGUUGGAGAAUAACACUGGAGCAUGAGAGUGAGCUUCACUGAAAAACAGGUAGGAAGCCAGAACUAGGAUUGGCCCUCUGAGCCAGUUCACAGGUGUACACCAUUAAAGCUUGCCCUUUACUCCUGAUUCAUCCGGGAGCUGUGAGUGAGUCAGGCACCUGAACCAUUCAUCCAGGAAUAUAUACAAUGAAGCUGGGUAUGUUUGAACUAAACAGCAGCAUGUCGGGGUGAACUUCCCCCUAUGUGCUUUUUCCUGAAUGACAGUGAUUCCAAGUCCUCGGAGGGAAGUCGUGCCCGGCUCUGCCUUCCUAGAGUUGGAGCGAUUCCCAGAGGGGAGGCUGUCUGGCCAUAUCGUGAUAUGGAUCACACCCCUCUAAGGCUCGUGUGUUCGCAAGUAGGGUUUUGGAAGAUGACCGUACCGUGAGCCCCUAACUCCGGUGGUGGAUUAAUCUGCUGUGCUGUUUCAGGCUCCUGGAAGAUGACAGGACUUUAGUCAGAAGACACCCUCUCAACAGUGGGUCUACAGGAGGCGCAUCCUGCCUGUCCGCUAAGCCAGCUUCCUCACAGCCAGCCCCUGUCACCGGUCGGGUGAUGCAGCAUU